GAUCAGCUGUUAACCUUAUGGGGAUUCCCUUGUGUGUUAUUUGUCAUUUUUCCCUUGCUGCUUUUAGUAGUUUUUCUUUGUAUUUACUUUUUGAUAGUUUGAUUAAUAUGUAUCUUGGCAUGUUUCUCCUUGGAUUUAUCCUGUAUGGGACUCUCUGUGCUUCCUGGACUUGAUUGACUAAUUCCAUUCCCAUAUAAGGGAAAUUUUCAACUAUAAUCUCUUCAAGUAUUUUCUCAGUCUCUUUCUUUUUCUCUUCCUCUUCUGGGACCCCUAUAAUUCAAAUGUUGGUGCAUUUAAUGUUGUCCCAGAGGUCUCUGAGACUGUCCUCAAUUCUUUUCAUUCUUUUUUCUUUAUUCUGCUCUGCAGUAGUUAUUUCCAUUAUUUUAUCUUCCAGAUCACUUAUCUGUUCUUCUGCCUCAGUUAUUCUGCUAUUGAU